GAUCCCAAUGAUUGAUGAUGUUGAGUGUCCAUGUAGUGUUCUUUCAGAAGAGCCAGAGCCACAGCUGCUGGAGAUGGAUUAACUGGAAGCAGAGCUGGCAUCUGAACUACAAAACUUCCGUGGUCCAAUGCUGAAGGUUCUGGACACGGAGUUAGGCCAAAUAUGGGCAAGGUGAGCCUUUUCAAAUUCAUCUGAAUUCUUUUUUCUGUAGAUUUUCCUACCACUAGAAGUUGUGCCCUUCCUGUUUAUUCAUUUGUCUGCCCCUAUCUUUUAGAUUAAUGUGUUCUCAGUGUUAUAAAACUUUUACUUCAUCCCAGACAGAAGUUUUGUUUUCUUUAUUUUGAUUUUCUGAAUUUCACCUUAAUGUUUAGAGGCCAUUAAAAGAUUACAAACCUUCCCAUUUUAGGGGCAACCAAAUCUUUGUUUGAACCUGGUUAACAAGGAGUCAUUAUGGAAUGAAAAUGCGCAUCAGCCAUUGGUUGUGCUUCCAGUAAUGCUUGCUAGUUUUGACAAUUACUGUCAUGAAAAUUUUUGUUUGCAUUCAUGCAGCCUAUAUGCUUGGAACCUACAAGUCUAUAAUUAGGAAAUCAAAGAAAAUUGAAAUAAUAGUCCAACUUAAUGUUAUUUUGCUUAAAC
rnacentral:misc_RNA from 1 species